UUGGUACUGGUACACGUGGCACAAAAGGCAUCCAUAAUGAAAUGCGUAUCUCUUUUCCUCCUGGUUUAUUUUUUAGGCUUGGCGCAUGUCUACAUGUAUGAAAUAUGUGACGGUGGAACUGUUUGCUAUGGAGACCGGUACUGUUGUGGAAAUGACCUGUGUUGCGACAAAAAUUCUCACUCAGUGUUACACCCCUCUAUUAGUGAUAAAACUCAAAGGUCGAACAAGUCAAGAAAUCACAAUACUGAAUAAAAUGGAUCAACAUUUAAUACACAACUAAAAACAAGAGCGUCCGUAAAACUGUCAAUCAAACAUUCGAGUUUCAACAGAGGCCAAGACGUGCCUGUCUCAGAUAUAUUCUUUAAGAAAGAAUUAAAGAUUAACAUAUUAAAGAAUUAAUCUAUGUACUUGUAUUGUAUGCAACUGGGAGUGUAACAAAUAUACAUUAACAGAUAAAGUUUUAAUUCUCCAACAGGCAAUUUAUAUUGUUGUUCUCGAAAUAACUGUUACUGUCUUCAGUUUUAUAACAAAUACAUAUAAUCCUGUCCUUUCAUCGGAUUUAUGUUGGUUAUCCUUUCCCCUUGUUUAGCCUGUGGAAUGAAAUCGUCUUUAAUUUGCUUGGAUAAUUAUAGUCUAAUGUCUCUGUGCAAGAAUGAUAAUGUGUGCCAUGGCACUGGUGGUACAUGUUUCUUGCUGGGUUUCACUGCAUGAUUCUUCUAUGGAAUCUUGGGUAACAACUCUGCAUUCACAGCAUUAGUCAAAAUAAAGAAAUUUUGCUAAGUACCAAGAUCACCUCUGAUCACUUCACUUUAAUUCAUGUUUUUGUUUUAAAGAAGUUUUUUCAUUUAAACUUCUUGCA